rnacentral:rRNA from 1 species
UACGUAGGGCGCAAGCGUUAUCCGGAAUUAUUGGGCGUAAAGAGCUCGUAGGCGGUUUGUCGCGUCUGCCGUGAAAGUCCGGGGCUCAACUCCGGAUCUGCGGUGGGUACGGGCAGACUAGAGUGAUGUAGGGGAGACUGGAAUUCCAGGUGUAGCGGUGAAAUGCGUAGAUAUCUGGAGGAACACCGGUGGCGAAGGCGGCAUCCUGGACCGGUAUUGACGCUGAGGCGCGAAAGCUAGGGGAGCAAACGGG